rnacentral:rRNA from 1 species
UACGGGGGGAGCAAGCGUUGUUCGGAUUUACUGGGCGUAAAGGGCUCGUAGGCGGUCUGUUGCGUCGGGAGUGAAAACUUACAGCUUAACUGUGAGCGUGCUUCCGAUACGGGCAGACUUGAGGUAUUCAGGGGAGAACGGAAUUCCUGGUGUAGCGGUGAAAUGCGUAGAUAUCCGGAGGAACACCAGUGGCGAAAGCGGCCACCUGGACUGUACCUGACGCUCAAACGCGAAAGCUAGGGGAGCGAACGGG